rnacentral:lncRNA from 1 species
UUUUUUUUAAAUCUAAAAUGACUAGAUUUUCUAGACUAGCUUUCAUGUAAACAUUCAGAAAAAAUGUUUGUGUGUGUACUUCAGAAAUGCCCAAAAGGAUUAUAAGAAAAUAAUUUAUAUAUGUUAUUGAACCAGACAUUCUCAUGUCUCCACAGACUCUCGGAUGAUUCAUGUCCUUUCCUAAUGACAAUAAUGCAGUAGACUUCUAGCACUAGUCAGCAGAGCUGGCUUGGGCUGGUGACCUGGAGAUGAAAUGUUUACUGCCAAUCUCCUGGGCAACCAUCUCCCCCUACAGGCACCUUUAAAUAAAUCUUCCCUUCCGUAUUUUCAAAAGACACUGGAAAUAUGUCAUUUGAGGCUACGGAGAAUACUUCCAAAAAUCCUUUUAUGUAAAGUUUGUUUUCACAAGUAUUCUGCAUAAUGCAGUCAAAGUUUUCUUUCCUUAAAUUUUAAGUAACUUGCAGAUCUUAACAUGGUUUUCUUCUUUUCAUUUCUCAAUGUCUUAUGCCAUAGACUGUGGCAUGGCACUUUGCCCGUGAGCAUUCCUGCUUUAGACACUGCUUAGGAGCAUGAAUCCCAGCUGUCAUCUCUGCUACAGGGAGGAACCCAAAAUGCUCUACAUGCUCCCCGUCCAGCUUCCUCUCCACACUGCCUCCCAUACUGCAGAUACCUCUCACAGACAACUGCAACUCUGUGUGGCAGCAGCAAUGCUCCCUCUGCCACAUGCAGCGAGCUCAUCCCUGGGUAGAGGGAUGUCUCUGCAGACUCUCCCCAGUCAGGAUCCGAACUUUGAGUUGACACCCAUCGUGCUUCCCCUGCCAAUUCAGAACCUGUGGUCUAGUCUCAUCACAUCACUGCAUCAGGGCUAUCCGCAGCAUCAUCUCCAUACAUUAGUCAAGCUUGUCUGGGGCCAUGCAGCUCAUCAACCAGUCAAAUGUAUGACAGCUCCACACUUGGAGGGUUUGGGCUUGGCUGGUGCCUGAAAAUCCAAAGAAUUUACAUGACUUUUAUUGCUGACAACUACCAGCACAGACUUGCACACCCCUCAUCUCUGAUAAAACCAGGACAUUUAAACCAGAGGGAGAGGGAAAGAAAAGCUCUUGCUUUCCCCUCACCUCCCCAGCUAGAUGUCUGCAAACUCCCAUGGGGAAGGCAGAGAGUUCUCCUGAAGAGAAGGUUCUUCAAGAACUACUCUUCAAGAAGUUCUCUUGAAGAGACCCUGUUCUCAUCAGGGUCUGGGUAACUUGGUGCUGCUUCCUUGCAGCUGAAGGCAGAAAUUUCUUCCCAAAUGUGGCUGAAUUCACUGAUCUACUCUCUCAGGUUAUGAGCAUGGCUUUUGUAACAGGUAGUUUAUAACCUGCAGUGAGCAGGAACUCAGAGGCAUCAGGGAGCAAGGGAACCAGGAGGAAUGAGCUGAAGGGAAAGGCUGAUCUAGAGCAAACAGCAUUUUGCUUGCUACCUGUGAGUGGUGACUGGGGAGUGCUGCUGGAAAAUGGGAUGUGAUUCAAGUGGUCUGAUAUUCCUAGGAAACCCUGUAUGAGUCUUUAGAAAGUGAGUGGUGAUCUCCACCAGCACCAUUAUAUGCCAG